rnacentral:lncRNA from 1 species
AUAAGAACAACAGAACCAUUAGUAAAAGAAUUCAAGAAACAAGAGGAAGUGCAAAACUGAUAGGAGCAUAUUGUUUUAGAAGUUGUAACUUAAAGAGGUGACAUACUAGUUGAAGCUAAUUUAACACAGUAGUAGUGAGCAAUAAUGCACAGAGAAGAGCAGUAGUGUGCAAAGAGUAUGCAGAGAGAAGAGCAGCAGGGUGCAGAGAGGUAAGUAGCAGAC